AUUGCAGCACAUCCCUCCACGGUGAUCUCUCUGAAGUUAACUGGGCUGAGGGCGGCAGCAGGCAGACAGCUGUACCUGGUGGUGAUGCAGCCACUGCGGUCAGGAUGGAAUCCAGACUGUGCUUUCCUGCCCCACGAUGGUUGCUGCUAUCUGUCUUCUGUGAACAUCCGCAAAUAGCGAUGAGCUGACAGCAAAAUUCCUGGAGAAGGCUUCUAGGAAAUUCAGCCGUGCGUGCUAGCUCUGCACCUCCCUCCCUUUUGUAUCAGCUCCUAAGCAAGCACUUGGACUUCAAGGCUCAGGAGCUGCAUCUCCUGCUCAGGAUGAUGGCAAUGGGGGAUGCUGGCUGGGGUUCAUGGCCUUGAAACGAGCUCUGGAUGCCUUGCAGCAGUGCCUCCCAGCAUUGCCCAACUGCUGACUGCACAUGGAUGGCUGCAAUCACAACAAUCUGUAGGCACGUUUGUCUUCUGCAAGGUUGGAUGACAAAGAGCCGGGCAGGAUAGGGACUGACCUUAAUGUCAUGAUGAUCAAAUAAGCACGUUUGUUUCUGUUUAGGACUGGUUAUUUUUAGCCUGUUAACAGAUGAUGUCUGCUGCUAUGGAGUAAUUAAGAAUUUUCUCCAGUUUGUGAGUAAGUUGGGAAAACAUCCGUGUGCGUGCUAUGAGCUCCACUGAACUCUCCAAUAAUGUCAUGAUUUUUAAUGCCAUUUGGGGAAUGAAAUGGGUGUUUGCAAAAGAUGCCAGUAUUGGAUUGUAGUUUGCAAACAGUGACGUCCUCACAGCUCAUUGGGAAGCUGGAUGCGUUGUGCAAAUGCUGAAUGGAAAAGAACAAUGAUGUGAAUGACCUCUUCCUUGUGAUACAAAGCAGAUAGCUGGAGAAGAGACAGCCUUUCAUUCUCCAUCCAUCCAACCAUCCAUCCAACCAUCCAUCCUGGGGCUUCCUGCUCCUCCAGUACCAGAUUCUUUCCAGUGCUGUUUGCAGAAAAGGGGAGAAAUCAACUCAGAAGAGACGUCUGGGAAAAAAAUGCAGAAUCAUAGAGUCACUAAGGUUGGACAAGACCUCUGGGAUCAUCAAGUCCAACCAUCAGCCCAUCCCCAGCAUACCCACUUACAGAGUCAUAGAAUCGUUAAGGUUGGAGAAGAGCUGUAAGGUCAUCACCUCCAUGGCUCAUCCCCACUGUGCCCGCUCUCAGAAUCGCUGAGGUUGGAAGAGACCUCCAAGGUCAUCAAGUUAAUCUGCACAGUACACCAGGACACUGAAGGCCUUUGAAAAGCACAUAAACCCAAGGCUGUGCUUUUGAAUAAGAUUUUAGUCUGCUUAAGUAGUGUAUUCCUGGAAUAAACUGGGGGGAGAAUUGCCCAUGAAAGGAGGAGGGUUGCCCGAUAUCAUCCAGCAGCCUCAUUUGGCAAACCCCCUGAGGACAUGUAAUUGGGAGAUAAAACAGUCGUGUCCAUGGCUGCACGGUGGGCUGUCAGUGAGCGGCCACGUGCCACACAGGCAUCCAAGAAGUUUCCUUUAAUGUGUGAGCCAAUGCUUGGCUUGGGGAGGGCGGGCUUUUAUUAUGCUUUGGAAAAGUGGUUUAUGAACGCACCGACUUCGGUCUGAGCUUUCUAACAAGGCACUUGGUUGUAAACGUG
ensembl:lncRNA